ensembl:lncRNA
GGCGACUGAACUUUAUCUGGCCAUGGGGGCACCAGGGGCGGAGAUGGCUCCCGACGCAAGAUCAGACAAGUCCACGCCAUGCCAAUACUCAGGUGAUGUUGCAAAACUCACUCUGGAGAUUCAAGAUAGCCAGACAGUGGGAUAGUUGGGUUUUGUAUCAAGCAAGUUUUUCCAAAUUAAAGAUUUGCUUCCAUUAGAGCUGAACAUUAUUUGGGUUUAAUAUGAUCCGUCUGAAGUUUGAGAGGAGUUGAAGAGUGUUGCUUGAAGUUGGCUCUAUAGGAACUGGUUUAAAGUCAGAUUAGCCUUUUUCCUCUCAAGAGUUAACGUUAGGGAUUACACCAUGCACUGUAAAUGGAUCUUAUAUCUGUGUUACUUUUUCAGAAAACUCUUGAGCCAAUUACUGUGGGAGGAAACAACAUGUUGGCAUGCCACAGAACCUUUUUACCCAAAGUCAUUUGGAGUUCCUCAGAUAAACACUAUAAUAUAGUGUAACAGGGGUCAACAUCCCACAGCUGGUUGGACUGGAGGAUGAUACUGUGCUGGUGGAAACAACACCUGACUCUGUACCACAGAUCAAGCAGUACCAGCACUUCAGCUUCGGUGCUCUGGAGCCUGGUGUUGUUGUCGCCAUGGACUGUUCGGACUCAGUGGGAACCAGGUUUCAGCUGCUGCGAAACGCUGACAUCCUUCCUCCCAUAGAUGGUCUGCCUAUACAAUCACCACCUGGACUUUACACAGACAAACGUAUCUUUUUGACAAGAUCAGGAAGUUUUAAGACGAAGAGGCUAUGGACGUCACAUGCCCUGCGCCAAAGUCAAGGGCAGGACAGAAACAGGCUCUACGAAUGUAGAUUCCCUUGUUCAUGCGUGGUUCGGAUGGACCAGUCAUCAGCACUAUCUGCAGUUCCUCUAUUCAAAUGACUCUCUCCUAACACACACGCCAUACGUUGCUGCUUCAAAAACAAAAAGAUAUCCUGCUGCUCAGCCACUUUACCCCUGAUUGUAUGCAUAUAACUACCUUGUCUAUCACUGAUAUUGAUAUUGUUCUUGUACAUACUGCGUAUUAUUUUAUUUAUAUUGAUGCCAUUUCUGAUAUUGCUACUAUACAAUUAACCAUUUGGCUGUACCGUUUACACCUUCUGUAGAGACCAAUCCACUUAGCAAGACUUAGCAGAAUAUUGAUAUAUAAAAUGAAUUUUGAUAUGUGUGGUCGUAACAUGAUUUUGUGACAUACCACAACAAUAUCAUGUGACCAUAUCAAGAGUCCACCACAUACAUAUAUGGCGCAUAAAUCUGUUUACGUACUGUUUAUGUACUGUAUGUACCUAUGCACCUCACUCAGGUUUCAACUCAGGUUGCAUGGCCUUAACUUAUGUAUGGAAUACUAUGUGAUAAGUGUGUGUGUAACAGUAUAUAAAAUAUGCUAAUGUACUGUUGUGAAGGCAUUUGGGCAGUGGUGUAAUGUACUUCAGUAAAAUACUACUUUUGUAUUUGGGGGUAUCUGUACAUUACUUUACUAUCUAUAUUUUUGGCAACUUUUACUUUACCUUCACCACAUUCCGGAAAAAAAAUGUACUUCUUACCCCAAACAUUUUCCCUGGCACCCAAAGUACUUCACACACUUAUCAAAAGAACAUCCCUGGUCAUCCCUUCUGCCUCACUAAACACAAAUGCUUUUUUGAAGUUAUGUCUGAGUGUUGGAGUGUGCACCUGCCUAUCCGUCA